AUUGAACGCUGGCGGCAGGCCUAACACAUGCAAGUCGAACGGUAGCACAGAGGAGCUUGCUCCUUGGGUGACGAGUGGCGGACGGGUGAGUAAUGUCUGGGAAACUGCCCGAUGGAGGGGGAUAACUACUGGAAACGGUAGCUAAUACCGCAUAACGUCUUCGGACCAAAGUGGGGGACCUUCGGGCCUCACACCAUCGGAUGUGCCCAGAUGGGAUUCGCUAGUAGGUGGGGUAAUGGCUCACCUAGGCGACGAUCCCUAGCUGGUCUGAGAGGAUGACCAGCCACACUGGAACUGAGACACGGUCCAGACUCCUACGGGAGGCAGCAGCGGGGAAUAUUGCACAAUGGGCGCAAGCCUGAUGCAGCCAUGCCGCGUGUAUGAAGAAGGCCUUCGGGUUGUAAAGUACUUUCAGCGGGGAGGAAGGCGUUAAGGUUAAUAACCUUGGCGAUUGACGUUACCCGCAGAAGAAGCACCGGCUAACUCCGUGCCAGCCGCCGCAGUAA
rnacentral:rRNA from 1 species